rnacentral:misc_RNA from 1 species
AACGCACCUUGCGCCCUUUGGUAUUCCGAAGGGCAUGCCUGUUUGAGUGUCAUUAAAUCAUCAACCACACCAGUCUUUUGUUGUCUUGUGCGGCUUGGUCUUGAGGGUUUUGCGGGCUUCCUUAGUAGGAGUCGGCUCCCUUUAAAUGUAUUAGCGAGGACUCCGUCCACUGACCGUCUCUGGCGUGAUAAUUAUCUAGUCAAAAGACGAGAAUAUGUGAUGGCUUGCUUCUAAUUGUCUCGAAAGAGACCGCGGAGUGACUAUAUGCGUCAGCUCUAUAUUGACUUUGACCUCAAAUCAGGUAGGACUACCCGCUGAACUUAA